CAGCAGCCGCGGUAAUACGGAGGAUCCAAGCGUUAUCCGGAUUUAUUGGGUUUAAAGGGUGCGUAGGUGGCCUGCUAAGUCAGGGGUGAAAGACGGUAGCUCAACUAUCGCAGUGCCCUUGAUACUGAUGGGCUUGAAUGAACUAGAGGUAGGCGGAAUGUGACAAGUAGCGGUGGAACGCAUAGAUAUGUCACAGAACACCAAUUGCGAAGGCAGCUUACUAUGGUUUGAUUGACACUGAGGCACGAAAGCGUGGGGAUCAAACAGGAUUAGAUACCCCUGUAGUCCCUGUCUCUUAUAC
rnacentral:rRNA from 1 species